rnacentral:lncRNA from 1 species
CAUUAAUGGCAUGCAUGGGCAGUGUUAUGCUGAAUAUAUUUAUGUUGAAAGUCUUGAAAGUGGGUAGAGAAGAAGGUACCUUAAAACAAUGGGGAAAAGUCACAAAGCCUUUGGACAAGCCAUCUGGGCCCAGCGCCUGAAAAAAUUCGCACAACAAAAAUGCUGGACGCCGGACAUGGGCAGCAGGCCCGGUCCGAGACAGCCAAGGGCUGUCCUUGACCUGUAUAACAAGGUCCAAAGAUGCCCACGGCAGUGCGGCAGCCAGCAGCCGCUGACCUUCCGGGGGGUGGCUGCGCUGCAAAGAGGCUGUAACUGUGGACUGCACAGUGACCCCCAUGACAGGGCUGGGAUCCAGCGGAUCCGGCAAUAUGUUGAGUCCGGCCGUCUGGCGGAGCUGAGGCAGCGCCCCAACAUCCAGCCCAAUCUGCAGCUUGAGCGGCAUGCUGCAGGCCAGGGACUACAGCCAGCGACCUCCACUUCCAUGCCUUCCUGAUCGAGGGUCUGGUUAGAUGGAACGCGGAUCGUCACCUGGCGGCGAUCGGACAGGACAGCGCCCGCGAGGUCCGGUGCUACGGACGAGUACAGGGUGCUACGACGGCCGGAUACGGGCAGCCGUCAACGACCUGUCGCAGAGGGUGCUCAAGAGGGACCUAGUCACCAGAAGCGAGCCUCUUCGAUACACGGGUGAGCUCGUCGGGGUCGCCUACCUGUACGGACAGACGGGCCGUAGGCUCGACGAGUACAGGGUGGGUGACCCCGACACGCAGCACGGCGAGGAUGACGAUGUUGGCGAUGACCUCGACGAGGGAUUCGAGGACGUCGAGGACAUCUUCGUGACCGACGCGUACGAUGGUCUCGAAAUGCCACUUCAGACGCCUCUCCCGGCCGCUCCCGUCGGAGUCCCCAGCCUCGCCGCCGCCGGACCUCAGGGACCCGCUACCGCCCGAGUCCCCAGCUCCGCCGACGCUGGGCCUCAGAGUCCCGCCGACGCUGGGCCUCAGAAUCCCGCCGCCGGACCUCAGAGUCCCGCCGCCGCUGCAGCUCCGGGCCCGGCCGCCGCUGCAGCUCCGGGGCCCGCUGCUGCUGCAGCCGCCGCAGCUGCACCUUCAGGACCGCUACCGCUGCCGCUGCAGCCCCGCGGCCUGCUGCCGCUGCAGCCCCGCGGCCUGCUGCCGCUGCAGCUCCGGGGCCCGCUGCCGCUGCGGCUCGGGGGCCCGCUGCUGCUGCAGCCGCCACAGCUGCUGCCUCGUGGCCCGCCGCCGCUAGAGCUCACAACCUCUCACGGCAUGGUAACCAGCCUCCACCGGCUCCUCCUGCCGUCGACGCUGCCAGCUGGUCACCAGCUGACGCACAGCCGGACCUGGAGGGACGCAGCUCACCCGGCCCUGGUGCAGUAGUGGCCGCCGCUCAGUCGCCCGCCAUCCCACUGACGCCAGACUGGGCAGCCGAGGGUCUUCCGGAGCACGGCGUUCAGCUGCUGUCGGCUCCUCCGACUACCGCCGGAGCCCCUGGCCCGGUCCCUGCCGGCGUCCCGGGCACAGCCACCGCGCCACCCACCGUCGCUGGCUCCGCCACCACCUCAAGUUUCGGGAACCCCGACCCGGCUCGCCAGGACGUGACCGGCCCCGACCACCAGCCGGGGUACGCCGAGUGCCACCGCCUGGCGCAGGUGCUCGUCGGCCUAGACUGCUCGCGGGGGUAUGUCGCCGACGAAGAGGCCGAGUCCAUCGUCCACCUGUGGCACCAGCUCUCCGCCGGCGACAGAGCCAAGGUGGCGGCCUCCCCGCGGUACCAGCACCGGCUGACGACCGGCCGGUUUAAACAGCCGAAGACCAGUCGGCUGUCUGGUGUCGUGCCGGGCGUGGACAGCGCACGGAGAGUCUCACUCAAGCGAGGAGCGGUUCCCGCGCAACGACCCGACUUGAACCGGCUCGCUGAGACGGUCGUCCGCCUGCUCUGCGAGCGGUACCGAAACCCCAGGCGCAGCGGAGGGUCGGUCCAGUCGCGCUGGGCGCAGAUCCUGGCCCACCACUCCAGCCUGCGGGACAUUCUCCUCAAAUGUCCCGCAAUCACCCAGCGGACUGGAGUCAACCUGGCGGCUCUGAACCAGCACACGCUCACGUCCUGGUUCAACGAGCACCAGAAGGAGACGGAGCGGAGAGCUCUUCUCCAGGGCGUGCAGCUGCCGCCAGCCCGUCCGAUCGCCGCAGUCGCCCUGCCAGCACCGGCGCCGCGGCUGAUGCAGGUGCAGGUGGUGCGGGUGGACUGCCGCCGCCCACCGCACCACUUCGUCCUGCCUGCCGACACGGUCGGACAGGCGCAGACCCGCCGUCGCCCGGCCGAGGACACCGGCCACGACACCGCCGCCAAGAGGCCCUACACGCGCCGGCAGCCCACCAACACCUGCGGCCAGUGCAAAGGCGCUCUGACGGCGGACACGGGGCACAGACGGGGGAAGGGCGGCCCAUGAAGCCGAAACAAGGUUUUCUGUCCCGUUGCCAACCCUGAUCUAACAUACGAUCAGUGGUUGGCAAAGUUCAAGUGAGAAGUAUGUCUUGUACCUAUGUAUGUAUGUCUUGUCUAUGUUUUGUGUCCUGUAUGCCUGGCAAGUCCAACGCCAGACACCGGCGGAACUGCUUCAGGGCCGCUCUCUCCGGCCGCAGCUCAGGCGCUGCGCCCCCCCCCCCCCCAUGAUCGCCGCUGGCGCCACCUUUCGGCGCCCCGCCGCCGUCGAUGGGGAGAAAAAUAAACCAGAUCUGACUUCGGAUGCCGUCAUGGUGUUUGUGUGGCGUAGAACAACGACGAUAAUAGCGAGUUAAAACCGCCUGACACUGUUUCAGGGUUUGGCGUUUUUGUUCGUGAAUGUUUGCCUGUUCCUUUGAUACUUAGGUUUACGAUUCCCUUCCUUCGUUUGUUUGUUUGGUCGUUAAACAUUAAAUAUACCAGUGUAUAAUG